rnacentral:rRNA from 1 species
UACCCUGGUAGUCCACGCUGUAAACGAUGAGUACUAGGUGUCGGGGGUUACCACCUGCGGUGCCCCAACUAACCCAUUAAGAACUCCGCCUGGUAAGUACGCUCGCAAGAGUGAAACUCAAAGGAAUGGACGGGGACCCGCACAAGUAGCGGAGCAUGUGGUUUAAUUCGAAGCAACGCGAAGACCCUUACCUAAGCUUGACAUCCCAAUGACAUCUCCUUAAUCGGGGAGUUCCCUUCGGGGACAUUGGUGACAGGUGGUGCAUGGUUGUCGUCAGCUCGUGUCGUGAGAUGUUGGGUUAAGUCCCGCAACGAGCGCAACCCUUGUCUUUAGUUGCCAUCAUUAAGUUGGGCACUCUAGAGA